GCCCGCUUAGCCCAAUUGGCAGAGGCGUCGGUUUUAGGUACCGAAGGUUGAGAGUUCGACUCUCUCAGCGGGCA
rnacentral:tRNA from 1 species